rnacentral:rRNA from 1 species
AGUGAACGCUGGCGGUAGGCCUAACACAUGCAAGUCGAACGGCAGCACAGUAAGAUCUUGCUCUUACGGGUGGCGAGUGGCGGACGGGUGAGGAAUACAUCGGAAUCUACUUUUUCGUGGGGGAUAACGUAGGGAAACUUACGCUAAUACCGCAUACGACCUACGGGUGAAAGCAGGGGAUCUUCGUACCUUGCGCGAUUGAAUGAGCCGAUUUCGGAUUAGCUAGUUGGCGGGGUAAAGGCCCACCAAGGGGACGAUCCGUAGCUGGUCUGAGAGGAUGGUCAGCCACACUGGAACUGAGACACGGUCCAGACUCCUACGGGAGGCAGCAGUGGGGAAUAUUGGACAAUGGGCGCAAGCCUGAUCCAGCCAUACCGCGUGGGUGAAGAAGGCCUUCGGGUUGUAAAGCCCUUUUGUUGGGAAAGAAAAGCAGCAGGUUAAUACCCCGCUGUUCUGACGGUACCCAAAGAAUAAGCACCGGCUAACUUCGUG